rnacentral:rRNA from 1 species
UACAGAGGUCUCGAGCGUUAGGCGGAAUCACUGGGCUUAAAGCGUGUGUAGGUGGAUCGUUAAGUACCUUGUGAAAUCCCACGGCUUAACCGUGGAGCUGCUUGGUAUACUGGCGGUCUUGAGCCAGCUAGGGGCUACCGGAACAAAUGGUGGAGCGGUGAAAUGCGUAGAUAUCAUUUGGAACGCCAAUGGUGAAAACAGGUAGCUGGGGCUGUGCUGACACUGAGACACGAAAGCCAGGGGAGCAAACGGG